GACGAACGCUGGCGGCGUGCUUAACACAUGCAAGUCGAACGGAAAGGCCCUGCUUUUGUGGGGUGCUCGAGUGGCGAACGGGUGAGUAACACGUGAGUAACCUGCCCUUGACUUUGGGAUAACUUCAGGAAACUGGGGCUAAUACCGGAUAGGAGCUCCUGCUGCAUGGUGGGGGUUGGAAAGUUUCGGCGGUUGGGGAUGGACUCGCGGCUUAUCAGCUUGUUGGUGGGGUAGUGGCUUACCAAGGCUUUGACGGGUAGCCGGCCUGAGAGGGUGACCGGCCACAUGGGGACUGAGAUACGGCCCAGACUCCUACGGGAGGCAGCAGUGGGGAAUAUUGCACAAUGGGCGGAAGCCUGAUGCAGCAACGCCGCGUGCGGGAUGACGGCCUUCGGGCUGUAAACCGCUUUCGCCUGUGACGAAGCGUGAGUGACGGUAAUGGGUAAAGAAGCACCGGCUAACUACGUG
rnacentral:rRNA from 1 species